rnacentral:rRNA from 1 species
AUAUCAAUAAGCGGAGGAAAAGAAACCAACAGGGAUUGCCUUAGUAACGGCGAGUGAAGCGGCAAGAGCUCAAAUUUGAAAUCUGGCGCAAGCCCGAGUUGUAAUUUGUAGAGGAGUGUUCGGCUGCGGCUUAGGUCUAAGUGUCCUGGAAUGGAACGUCUUAGAGGGUGAGAACCCCGUACUCGGCUGAGAGCCAACGCCAUGUGAACGCCCUUCGAAGAGUCGAGUUGUUUGGGAAUGCAGCUCUAACUGGGUGGUAAAUUCCAUCUAAAGCUAAAUAUUGGCCAGAGACCGAUAGCGCACAAGUA